rnacentral:rRNA from 1 species
GACGAACGCUGGCGGCGUGCUUAACACAUGCAAGUCGAGCGGUAAGGCCCUUUCGGGGGUACGACGAGCGGCGAACGGGUGAGUAACACGUGGGUGACCUGCCCUCAGCUCUGGGAUAAGCCUGGGAAACCGGGUCUAAUACUGGAUAUGACUCCAUGACGCAUGUUGUGGGGUGGAAAGCCUUGUGCGGCUGAGGAUGGGCCCGCGGCCUAUCAGCUUGUUGGUGGGGUGAUGGCCUACCAAGGCGACGACGGGUAGCCGGCCUGAGAGGGCGACCGGCCACACUGGGACUGAGACACGGCCCAGACUCCUACGGGAGGCAGCAGUGGGGAAUCUUGCGCAAUGGGCGAAAGCCUGACGCAGCGACGCCGCCGUGAGGGAUGACGGCCUCGGUUGUAACUAC